UGUAGACCAAAGAGCUACCUACUGGUUAACGAUGGUAUGAAUCUUGUUAAAAAAAAUAAACUAUUUUUAUGAUGCAUACUUGGUCAUUGCCAAGUUAGAGGCAUUUUGAAUUUGGAAAAUAAUAACAGUGACCUUUCAGUAGUUUACAUGCCUUCCUCCAGCCAAGGCUACUGUAAGAAAUACUGCAUACAAACUUCUUUCAUAGAUCUCCAUGCCAGCAAUGAAAAGGAGCAAGAAGCAGAAAAAAAUGGAAGUUAUUGUAAUGGGAUGCUAAAGAUUGUUGAAGCCUCACCACGGUGUUUCCUGAUACAGCAUGUUAAAAAAUAAGGAUCGUUCAUCUAAAAAAAGUAACUUAGCAGU
rnacentral:lncRNA from 1 species